UCCUCCCAGCCCCGCCUCUGAAAAAAAACCCCCGACCCCGCACGCCUCCUCUUCGUCCACGAUGCCGCCUCCCGUUGUCUCCCCUUCCCUUCCUCCUCCGCCGCCGACGUCCGCCCGGCCGCCCCCGUGCAGCCUCCUCUUCGAGGACGGCGCCCCUCUCUCUUGCUCUACCCACUGCCUCUGCUCUCUCCCUUCCUCUGCCCGCUGCAAUCAGAGCCGCCGCCGCUUCCUUCCUGCGCCAGUUCCCGCCGCCAAGGACGGGCGUGUGAAGAGAGGGCUGCCGGCCUCCACCCGCUGUCCCUGCCCCCGCCGUUCACCGCCCCCGCGCUCCUCCUCAUCGAGCUGCCUCCGCCGCCCCCGCCCCUGCCCUCCUGGUCGGGGGCGGAGGGAUGGAGAUGGGGCCUACGGCGGCGGCGGGGACGUUGACGGAUGUGUGACGUGUCGGUAAUGCUCGAUGUUGCCGGUACGAGCUGGUCCGUGACUUCGAGGCCGGCCACUUCGGCGUCGCCCACCUCAUGCGCUGACGUGCCUCCAGCGACCUCGUCGCCGUCAAAUACAUCGACCACGGCGAGAAGGUACGGCCCAGAAAUCUGCCGUCCCUCCACUUCAGUUAAUUGAUUCCACCACGACACGGGCACAGCACCAAAGUUCCAUGCCCUCUGAUAGCUUGAUGUGUGUCAGUGUGUGUGCAUAUUGAUGAGAACGUGCAGAGGGAAAUCAUCAAUCACAGGUCAUUGCCGCACCAAAACAUCAUCCGGUUCAAGGAGGUUGUUAUGCGGAUCCGUGAUACUGUCGAUUGGAGUCUCGUAUUUCGAUUGACAUGUGGAAUGAUGCAAAGAGGGUGUCUCUCCGUUUGUUUGCGGUUCUUCAGGUUAAUUAUUCCGAGGUUAAUUAUUCCGAUGCCGACGCAUCUGCGAUCGUCAUGGAGUAUGGCAGUAUGCCUCCGGCGAGGAUCUCUUCCAACCAUCUGCACAAUGUUGGUCGAGUCAGCGAUGACGAGGUCUCUCUGUACUCGAUUGCUUGCUAAUCUGGCCCUAUCUUUUGAUCAAGUGUGUGUGAUCAUACAUUUGUUGGUUACAUGUAUUGGUUAACUCUUGAGUUUCUCUUUAUUUUCAGGCCCGUUUCUUUUUCCAGCAGCUAGCUGGUAUCUGGAGUUAGCUACUGCCAUUCCAUGGUACUCCCAGUUUUGUUUUGCACAAAAAAUAUUUUCCUUCACAAUUUAUGUUUUCACCAUUUCUGAAGCAAGUAUGCCAGUCUGCUGGAUGGGAGCAAGGCUCCUCGACUGAAGAUAUGCGACUUGGUUAUUUGAAGGUACUUGGAAGUCAAACAACGCAAUGUUACGAAGAAUCACAUAUCUGAUGUUAUUGCUCAGGCAAGGACUAAGUGUUGUGUUUACUAUGGAAAUCCUUUGUCAUGUCGCUCAUAAAAUAAAUACUGAGUCAUAUAAGCCUUUCUUGCUGUUCUCUUUCAACAAAGACAUCUGGAUUGGUUGUCUUCCAUGUUGCUUACCGAAUGACAUCAAUGUUUCACAUGAAACCAAAUAAAAGGUCAUUUAAUUCGACACAAAUGGUGAAAUAAUUAUAUUUCAAAUUUUGAAGAGUCAUUUUUCAAUCCGUUGCAUCGCACGGGCUUUGUAGCCUCCGCUUCAUGGCCUCCUCGCCCUUCGCCUCGGGACGUCAAAGGCGUGACCAGUAGACGGUGCCACUGCUCCAUCACCGGCUCCCUCCCAACCAAUUUCACGCCCCUUACAAAAUUAGCUAAAUUCACAUAGAAUUCAUCAAAUUUAGUUAUUUUGUAAGAGAUUUGCCCCUCCAUGAUCAAAUUCGCCCCUCUUAAAGUUGAGUCCUGGAUCCGUCCCUGCUCAGUGUAGAUAACUUUUGCUCGCGUGCUAACAAAAUGAAUUCCAAGGAACUCAAGUUUGAAGCUCAUGAAAGGGAUGUAAAACCAGGCAAAGAGAACAUGCAAGCUAGCACGUUGAUUCUGGAGAAGCAUUGCGGACAAACGGAAAUAGUAUAAAUUAAGUAUAUUUACCUUUAAUAACUCAUCUCUUCCAGGGCCAUAUAAGACUUUAAUCUUCUUUUUAGUCCUUUCUUGUAAAAAGAGGCUUCACAACCUGGUCAUGGGUGAACAGAAACUCUAAUUAAGUAUAACUCAUCUCUCCACCCUAUAUCUAUAUUUAUUAAUAAUCUUAUGCCGGCUCCUUUAGUUUAAGUAUUUAACAGGUGAUCAAUUUGCAUCCAUCUGCUUUCAUAUACUCUGCAGAUCAUUGAGGCGAAACAUUGUCAGCCUUUUUCUUUUAGGUAAGUUUUGUAAAUUCAAGACAGCGGAGGUGCUAAUUUCUUAAAUUCCUAUAAAAAAAGCCUUGUGGUGGUGGCAGUACGUCGCCACCCCUCCCUGCAUAUGAAAUAUGUAUUGCUGGUAUCUUUAAGGGCCUCCCAUAUGGUUACCACAUAUGACAAUAAUAUUGUCAGAUUUAUUUCUAAUUGCCUCCAUAUAGUAGGAAUCUUAUUAUUGAAUUUUCAAUGGAAACUUUUCUCAGGAUAAGAUUUUUCUCGGUAGCUUUAUGUAGUCCUGCAAAUGCAAGAGUCAUGUAUAGUCUCUUGAGUUAACCAUUUAAGACAGGACUAACACAUGUGGCUUUUGUAAGCAUUACUAUCUUAAAUCCUUUAAGAUGCAAACUUCUGCUGAAUGGCUUUCUUUCCUGGAUUAACCGGUGAUCAUAUCUAUUGUACUAGGGUUAACUUAUGCUUGUGUGCUACUAAGAGAAGUGUACAUGUUGAUUGGUAACAAGGAAGGGGGGCUGUGAGGAGGGUAACAUACAUUCUUUUGGGGGUUGACCCAGAACCAUUCUGUGGUUGUUGAUUUGUUAAAUUUUGAGAGUGUGAAACACUAUUUAAAGUUAACGAUUAGCAAUUGCAAUUGCUAUUUUGGUAUUUGAAGAGCUUCCACGGGCACUGCAAGUUACUAAAAGUAAAUAUUGAAGGGUUCGAAAGAAAUUCUUUACAUAGCACAGAAAUGGGAAUUUUAUUUCUCAAGGACACAUACCAGUGUAUAUUAUUUGGCAUCUAUUCCCAUACUUGUUUUCUUAUUUUGAUGUAAGAACUACAUUGCAUUCAAAUUUCCUUACAAGACAAACUGUUUAAACUUAUUCAUAACUCUGGAAAUUUAUAUUAUCAAAGAGUUACUAAUAAAGCGAAAUCCCAUAGAAAAGUUUUGUAGCUUUACUGCAUGGGCGAGCACUUGUUAAUCUGGAAAGGCAUGGGCGAGCACUCGUCAAUCUUUACAAGCAUGAAAACUUUUGUAGCUUACAUCGUUGACUUGGCUUCUCUAUAACCCCGUUUUCAGCUAUGGUUUGGAUGGUGGUGUGAUUACUGAUGAUCUGGAAAAGGCAUCAGCAACUUGGAAAGGUCGAUUAAACUUGGCUUAUAAUGUACACAUCACGUAUUGAGAAUGCAGCCAUCAAAUUAUGAAGGCGAGAUAAAUCCUUGGUGUGCACGAACUGAAUCUUCUGUAAAUUGCUCUUGCAGUCAUUAUAUGGCCAAAACCGUUACAAAUUAUGACAGUGAUCAAGCCUGUGACAGAUACAUUUGCUGAAAUGUUGCUAAAGUGAAAAAAAAAUAUUCACUUGCUUUUUAGUAAA